rnacentral:rRNA from 1 species
UUAAUUCGAUGCAACGCGAAGAACCUUACCUACUCUUGACAUCCAGCGAAUCCUUUAGAGAUAGAGGAGUGCCUUCGGGAACGCUGAGACAGGUGCUGCGAUGGCUGUCGUCAGCUCGUGUUGUGAAAUGUUGGGUUAAGUCCCGCAACGAGCGCAACCCUUAUCCUUUGUUGCCAGCACGUUAUGGUGGGAACUCAAAGGAGACUGCCGGUGAUAAACCGGAGGAAGGUGGGGAUGACGUCAAGUCAUCAUGGCCCUUACGAGUAGGGGCUACACACGUGCUACAAUGGCAGAUACAAAGAGAAGCGACCUCGCGAGAGCAAGCGGAACUCAUAAAGUCUGUCGUAGUCCGGAUUGGAGUCUGCA